rnacentral:rRNA from 1 species
AGUGAACGCUGGCGGUAGGCCUAACACAUGCCAGUCGAACGGCAGCACAGUAAGAGCUUGCUCUUACGGGUGGCGAGUGGCGGACGGGUGAGGAAUGCAUCGGAAUCUACUUUUUCGUGGGGGAUAACGUAGGGAAACUUACGCUAAUACCGCAUACGACCUACGGGUGAAAGCAGGGGAUCUUCGGACCUUGCGCGAUUGAAUGAGCCGAUGUCGGAUUAGCUAGUUGGCGGGGUAAAGGCCCACCAAGGCGACGAUCCGUAGCUGGUCUGAGAGGAUGAUCAGCCACACUGGAACUGAGACACGGUCCAGACUCCUACGGGAGGCAGCAGUGGGGAAUAUUGGACAAUGGGCGCAAGCCUGAUCCAGCCAUACCGCGUGGGUGAAGAAGGCCUUCGGGUUGUAAAGCCCUUUUGUUGGGAAAGAAAAGCAGCAGGUUAAUACCCCGCUGUUCUGACGGUACCCAAAGAAUAAGCACCGGCUAACUUCGUG